UACAGAGGGUGCGAGCGUUAAUCGGAAUUACUGGGCGUAAAGCGUGCGUAGACGGUUAUUUAAGUCGGGUGUGAAAGCCCCGGGCUCAACCUGGGAACUGCAUUUGUGACUGCAUCGCUGGAGUGCGGCAGAGGGGGAUGGAAUUCCGCGUGUAGCAGUGAAAUGCGUAGAUAUGCGGAGGAACACCGAUGGCGAAGGCAAUCCCCUGGGCCUGUACUGACGCUCAUGCACGAAAGCGUGGGGAGCAAACAGG
rnacentral:rRNA from 1 species